ensembl:lncRNA
CUUGUCUUCAGUUCCUGAAAAUGCUUCAGAGCCAUAAAGGUGGAACAGCCUGCAAGGACUCUGUUAAUGGAUCCCAGAUCACAGACAAAGCCAUUGCAGCUUUAGUUAAAAAGCAUGGAAACAGAGUCUCCACAAAAUAGAAGUAUUUGGCUGCCUUGCUCUUACUGCCAGGAGUGUGGGCUCCCUGGCCUCGCAGUGUUCACACCUUCAGAUCCUGAAUAUUGGGAGAGUCCCCAAGGUCUCUAAGGCCUGCCUGGUCAGGAGCCUGGAGAACUUACAAGAGGAGACUGCCCUUAAUGUUGCUGGCCUCAAAAUGAUGAGACUUCUUGGACUCAGACUGACAUUUUAAUUGGUUUCCACCUGCCUAAGUUUUCAGAACAUAAAACUAAAUAAUGCUUCCAUGUCUUUCCCACCUCAUCAUGAAAUAAUGUUCUGAAAUGUACAUUUUACAGGGGACAGAAUCACAGAGUAUCGGUGUGAUAGAAAGGGUUUGGACAGUGGACCAUUUCUUCUACUCAAGAGAAGAAAUAUUUGAAACUGUUUCACUGAGAAAACAUUGCUAUUUGGUUAUAGAAUAUGUAGGUAGCAGAUCUAAAAGUUGACCUAGUUAACUGAAUCUUUUUCCAUUCUUCUAACUGAGCUAGUAUUUACAAUAAUUCAAUGGAACUAUUAAAUAAGAGAUAAUGAUAAUAGCUAUUAUUUACAGAGCCCCUUCCAUGUUUCAGGAACAUAUAAGGCACUUGUUACACACAUUAUUUCACCAGCUUCCCAUCUACCUGUGUGAGAAGAAGCAUUGUCCCCAAUUUACAGGUAGAGUCAUUGAGGUUCUGGGAGGUGAAAGAAAAAUGGUCCAGGUCAUGAAGCUUGUAAGUCUGGACCCAGGUUUGCUG